rnacentral:lncRNA from 1 species
UCCACUUCACCUCUAAACUCUACUUCACUUCAGCUCCACUUCACCUAAAAAUGUGUUUGGGAAUCAAAUCAGCUCCAGAACGUUUUCCUUGUUGCUGCUAUUUUCUUUCCUUCCAUGAUGGAUGGAUCUCAUACGAGAUUGCUUCACUUGAUGGUACGAUUAACACAAGUACUGUAUUUUCGAACUGAGCGAUCAACGUGGCUGAUUAGAACUCUUCUUUGCAAAAAAAAAGAUUAAUAGAACUCUGAUCGAUUAUAGGUGAUGGGAACGAGGAAUAGGAGAAGAACGCCUGCUGCCUUCUGCCUGUCUGGUUCCAGGCGCAAUAGAUGGAGAAAAGCAAUCAGAGAGAAAGGGAAUUGCUUCAAAUAAAUACAGCUCUGAUCGAUCGUAGGUGAUGGGAAAAAAGAGCAGAGGAAUACGAGAAGAACGCCUGCACCUUCUGGUUCCAGGCGCAGUCGACGGAGAAGAGCAAUCAGAGAGAAAGGGUCUUGCUUCAGAGGCAGCAAGGACCUGCAGGGACAGUACAGUCGACGGGAAGUUAGGGACUAGCAUAAGUGACGGGGAACGGUGGGCGAGGUGCUAGUGGAUGGGGUGAUGGCUCGGCGGCGCUGCAGUCCGGAGAAGCGGCGGCGACUACCCGUGGCGGCAGCGAAUCGAGGCGGGCUCGCGGGGGACCGUGGGCGGGCUCGCGGGAUACCAAGGGCGCGCUCGCCGGAGAUGGAGCGUGGCCGGCUCUGCUAGGGCUGUAGAUGAGCCGCCAUGGCUUUGUCCGUCUCUGGUCCGCCUGAGACCUAUCAAUAGGAAGGGAGACGAGGAGUCAGGGAAGUGGGUUCAUGGGAUAGAGAGCGUAACGGUUCGGUUCACUAAUGGCAUUGGUGGGUAAAUUACUCCAAGUUUAAGUGAAGUGGAGCAGGUGAAGCACCUCUUUCUUAACUCCAGUAAAAUGAACUAGAGAGUUAUACUGCUCCACUUCACCUAACACAUGGAGUUUAGAGUGUUUGGGGCAACUUCACCUGCUUCACUGGUGAAGCCGUGAAGUGGAGCUGUACCAAACAUGCCCAAAGUUGUCGUGGAUGCCACGUUUCUGAAUGGAGCGCACUGGUUCGGCUCCACCAGGGAGCCCAUCCUUGGUGCUAGCCUCACAGCCAGCGUCUACGCCACCAACUUGGCAAAGAUGUGGAUCAAACUAAUGGGCCGAUAGGCUUUAGCAUCAAGCCAUCCAAGCGCUUGGGGAGCAAGAUCAAUAGUGCCUGGUUGAGCCCCUGGAACCGUCGGCCAUUGAGGUCUGAGAGUUGCCCAAAGGCUUCCAUGACAUCAUCCUUCACAAUCCCCCAGCAACACUGGAGGAAUUCCGUGAAACUGUCCGGGUCCAGCUCCUUGCCAUGGGGCAGACAACGCACCACCUCCCACACCCCAUCCUCUGAAAGGGGGCCUUGAGGUCAGCAAGGUCCGCAGAGCGAGACCCCAGGAAGUCCAGGUCCAGGGAGAAGUCCCUCUGAUCAACCGUCCCCAGAUGGAGUCAGAUUCUCUUGUUAGCUCCGCGUUAAGAAGCUUAAACUUAUCUGUAAUAAUAGAAUAAUAAUGCGGAUGGUUCUAACUAGUCACUAUCAAUGUAACCCUUGUAUUUGAUGUAAACCAGUGGCUAUUCCUAUCUGAGCUUUUGUUUGCUAAGUAUGAUUGUUGUGCUGUCCUAAUGAACAUCUGAUUUCAAUAAUUUUCCUAGGGACAUCUCCAAGCGAGCACUCCUGUCAACUUUUGCUGCUCCAGGGAACAUUGUCUUCCAGAUUCUGCCUUUAGGCAUCUGUAGUGUACAUGAGGAUAUUUUUCAUGCUUCAGUUGAUGACAUAGAGAGAAGGUUACAAGAGAUCACAGUGACUGGCGUGUCCAGAAAAGAUGACAAGGAGUCCACUUUGAUGUUAUCAGGAAAAGACAUAGCAGUUUGGAUUAUGGUGUCCGCUGCUUCAGUAGCUGAGUAUCAGCAUGACCUUCGAGCAAAAGAACACAAUGCUCGAUGGAGGCUAGCUUUGCUGGCAAACAAGAAAGUUAUUAUGGGAAACAUUUUUGAUCCAAGGUAUCUUUACUUGUCCACGUACAGUUAUAUCAUGCUAUGUGUUGCUUAUUGCACUCAGUCUUGUCAAUGGGUUUGAGUAACUACCAGCUUGUGUUUGAACACUUCCUUCAACUGCACUGUUAUUGAUAUUUCACUAAAAUUCUUUCAUUCAGUUAUUUAAGGCCUUUAAAUAAUUUAGCCAAGCUCACUGAACUACUGGAUAUUUCUGGCUUUCUGCAUAGAUUAUGCAAUUUUGAAAUGGAUUUUCUUGGGUUGGGGUCAGUUAUGGUGAAACAGGGAGAGUAGUUUCUCUAAUAUGGAGACACAAUUGCGGACUUCCUAGCAGCCAGAACUGUAUGGUUGUUGAUGGUAUGCUGGAAUUGGGCUUAUUCCAGUUUGCUGAACCCUGGACUGUCCCACAGCCGCAAACCUCUUUGAUCUCAAUUUCUCGUGGUACUAUUCAUAUUCAGUGCUUGUAGUUUAGAUUCCAAACAAUAGCAUUUGACAGACUGAAUUUGAAAUUUUAAAAGUAGUUUUUUUGGAAUAGCUGCAAGUUUUGCGUGAUGGGUUAGUGUCAACGAUUCAUCAAUGACAGUGAGCUUUGGAGCAUAUCUGGAUGGCUGGGAAUACACAGGACCGAAUCAGAGGGAAGCUCCAACUUUUGAAUCAUCAAUGACACUUUGCUGUUUUCUGUUUUUGCUCGUUUGGGUUUUGUAGGUCACUAGGUUGUUCCCUUCUGCUUUGGUUUUUUGGGUUUUGUUGGGUUUUUGUAGUCAAACUUGUGCUUGGCGCCACCUCUGGUGCUUUUGUAGCUCUUGCACCAUUUUGGUGUUUUCUUCUAUAGAAAGAUACACAAGCACUUUCUACGGUGGAUGGGGAGGACAUGUAUCAGGAAUGCUUCCUCCAAGGUCUUGCUUCAUCCAUGCGCGCCCCCCGGACACUGGACCUAGCUCUCUCCUUAUAUAGUUGGCUUUGGCCUUUUCCUUUCCUUUCCUUUUCUUUUCUUUGAGCCCUCUUUGGGUCUCAUUUUCUGUUGCCUUUGUACUGCGCUUCUUGCGCUUUCUUCUUAAUAAAAUGACACGCCGCUCGGCAUGUUCGAGAAAAAAGGUCUUGCUUUAACUGUUUAAGGAAGCUUUUCUUCAGUUAACUGGUUUCCUUUAUUGCUGCAUGGAAUACAUUAGGACUUAGCAGUACCCUAUAGAGUGAUUUUAGUCUAUAUCAGUGUGAAUCAACGUCUACCCACUUUAUGUGUCUCUUUGUCCUGGAGCACUUUCUUUUCAAGCUGUCGCCAUCAGUCUGCUUUCCAGUUUCCACACAGAUCUAGUCAAUUAACUAAGUGAUUGGCAAUAAAUUACAAGAGUAGAAGUUAAGAAGUUAAAUUACAACCUUAUCUGUCCUGUUAACUUAAUUUUGCAGCAGAGUUUUCUAAAAAAAAUUGGCACCAGACUGGAUGUCACUUAUGUUCCUUUUGGUCAUUUAGCCGGAUAGUGUUAACAGUUCUGUUCAUAUGAGGCCCAGAAUGCCCUGUCAUCGCUCGGUGCUCCGACACCGGGGGCGUGCGGCCACGUCUCCCUUUUUGGUUUGGUAGGGGCGUCUGGGGCGGAGACCCGGUGAUCGCCGGCACGGCCGAUGAAGCCCUACGGGGCCGGUGAGACCAAGUGCUAAGGGUGCGCGCUGAUACCAGAGCAAGCGCACACACGUUUUUUACCCAGGUUCGGGCCACCCGGAGGUGUAAAACCCUACGUCCUGCCUGUCUGAACUGAUAUUGACCGCGGAUCAAGCGUUUACAAGUUUGCCGGGCAGUUCCCGGGCUUCCUCUCAAUGUCUAAGCGCUCCCUACUGCUCUCUGCUGGCUGUCUACUGGAACCAACUGACUAACCUGCCAACCGUCUAACUUCCUAACCGUCUAACCCCCUUGACCGUUGGCAAGGGUCCUCCUUUUAUACACAAGGGGAUGCCAUAUGUGCCAUGGUGCAUGGGCUACAAGUGUCCAACGGGGAGGCAUGCAACUCUCCCCGGUGAGCUGGUGGCGUGCAUGGGUGCCACCUCCGCUGCUAGGGGCCUAAGACCCUAGGGUAGGAUUAGACAACCACUGUUCCUUGGAUCGGACGGGUAACUACCCGUCGGUCGGCUCGUUUACUGAGCCGCGCGCCUUACUCCUUGCCUUGGUGGGACUGCGCGUCCCGCGCUCGCCACGCUUCCGCGCGGCGCUGUCCACCGGGCCCCACGCGCGAGGCGGGGGCUCACACCCGGGAACCUCCACUCCCCGCAAGUCGACCCCGGGAAGCACCCGGGCCCAGCGCACCCGGGAACCUCCUCCCUUGGCACUUGGCACCCAAAUAUGCAGUUUCUAAAAUCAGGACUAACUUGGCACUUGGCACCCUAGCAAUAAUAAUUAAACCGCGCUUAAUUAGAAUGUGGGUGAAACAAAGCUGUAAAAGGAAAAGAAAUGGGAAGUUUUAAUUGACUCUAGGCCUGUCAUAGAACUCUUAUGUAUUCAGGGUUGCUCGUGUGCCCUCUUGGCGUAAAUUGCAUAAAAAUGCAUUAACGAAUGCUACUAAGAUACUAGCAAAAUUCAUAUACCUUCCGGUGGACAUGAUUGUCAUGCCUAUUAAAUCAUUGUCACCCAUUUUGAUCUAUGAACUUCACACAUGAUUUGAUCUUUUGUUUUUCAAAAUUUUGAAUUUUACAUUUCAAGAUUUACGUUUGUGUUGUUCUUAAGUACUCAUACAUCUAUUGUUGCUGCAUUAAUUAGCAACAUUUGUAUAGGGGAUAAAAUCAGGAAAGUAGGGAUAGGGGGUAAGUUAUCCAUCUGCCUACGUAUAUGAGGGCUUGUUUUUUUGUUCUUUGACUGAAGAUGGAAGGGCAUGUUGCCAUCUAUAAGCAGGCAAUCAAUCAAUGAAGAGGUUAGUUUGUACUCCUAUGGAUCGGAGGGAGUAUGUGUUAGUAUCCUUUUCACUCGAGCCCGUUCUCAUUGUCCUGUAAUAAACGAGCAUACAUUAGAUCUAUUAACAAUGAAUAGAGAUCAAAUCAGUUGCAUUUAGUUCAUAACUUGCCCUGUCACUAAAAAACAGCCAGGGCUAGUUUUAACUAUUUUUGUUGGUAUUUGAAGUCCCGCGCUGGCUCCAUGCUACACCCCCCUACUUAAUAAGAGCUUUCAUCUCCUGCUCAAGAGCUCAGUGCCAUACAUUUCUUACUCUUUUUGCUGAGGCCCCAAAAGCAUUGUCUGAGUGGUCACAUUUUGCUUUUCAGGGCUACUUCUAUAGAUGUCUCUGGUAACUAUGGAUUCGCUGGAACAUAUGGAGGUUGCUUGUACAUGUGGGAGUUGUCUUCUGGGAGAAAACUUGCCGGCACAGAGUGCUUCAACGGUAAGUGACAUGAGACAUCUCAAAAAGGUUUAUUAGUUGGAAAGCAACGACAAACUUUACUCUGUUUGUACAGACAAGUGAGCCUUGGAGGCUUUGCUGCACUCUUUAUCUUGUGUUGUUUUACUGCUUCAUUGAACUAUUUCUCUGUUUUACUUUUCAAAGAUACUUGUUCUGUAAAUAACAUGAUCAUCUUCCUGACUUGUACAAUCAGGUCAACGAGUCUCCUGUGUUGCUGUUGAUGCCAAAUCAAGAGUAGUGGCAGUAGCUGACGAUGACUGCAAUGUAUUGCUUUACACUGAAAACAUGGUGUAAAGCAGUUGUGGCAAAUCUGCGGGAUGUUCCUAAUUGUGUAAUCUUAUAGCAUUUGCAGCUUACAGUUGUUACUCCAAUCAUCUGCUGUACAUAGCUGAUCAGACCAUCAUUGGAAAUUCUUUUCACCCCUUUUCUUGGAACAAGUCUAUGCCAGAGAGACGGUAUGAAUCAGCUGCAGUCUCCAGCUUUUUUUUAUAGCUUGUACCUAGCACAAAUCAGGUUUGAGGCUGGAAAAAGGCUGAGUUUGUAUUUUGGUAAGAAUUGGUGUCUUUUGGACCAGCAAGGCUGUAGAGACAUUUAUUUCCAAAAGAUAUGCAAUGUUGGUUGUUCUCCUUUUCUGACAGCACCAAACGGAGCAUUAGUUUGUGAUAUAUUUUGUGACAGACUACAAAAAGGUUUGUUUUACCGUAUGGGUGGGUUUAGUCCAGAUUUUUCCCGUUGUUGCACGUGGGUCCAGAUUUUUCGAAAUCUCACAGCAGCACGUUUUCAGGCAAGUCCGACAUUAUUUGUUUUGAAGGGGAAAACAAGUCUCCCCUCUCUCCGUUUCAUAUUAAUUGGCACUGAUUUAGUACAACUUGUAUUCAAUUUGCGCCAAUAUGGAGCUGAAUGAUUACAAUUUUUUGAAGUGUCUGCAAAUUGCUGCGGGACGUUCAAGGCAAAGCUCAAUGGAUUUGGCACUAUUCGACUCGCCAGGGUCAUCAAAUUGAUUGGCAUAUUUAAGCUAGAAUUGGCAUGCAGUAGAAGACCAGAGAGUACCCUGAUUCUAGCGUCUAGCGAUAACAUAAGACACACAUCGUACUUAAAAUAUUUAUGCAGGUGUGCACAAAGAAUUAUGUUCUGAAAAUUUAUUUUGUUUCAUUUACAGGAAUUGCUUCAGUACUCCAACGUUGAACACUUAUGAAUUCAGAACAAACCGAUCCAUUUAGAACAUAAUUUAUCCACAACAAGGGUUGUGCCGCAGAAUCCUUUGAGCAAAAGUAGAAGGGCAUGCUUGGUUUGUGACAAAGUUUGCCCGUAUUCAAACUUUUGGCUGCCUAUGGAAUAAUACCAAUCCACCUCACAAUCCGUUCACAAAUUUUGCCAAUCCAUCUCACAACCGAUUCACGAAACUACAUUUUUUUUGCCACCCUUCUUCGGACUAAUUGUCUCUGAGUGGCCCAAAACUGAUGGUUAAGCGUGUUUGACACUUUUCCUUACAAGAUGGGGCCCACUGUCAGGUCCAUCCCAUUUAUGCAUUUAGCCCCUGCAUAUUUUCACAUUUAUUUUCUCCCCCUUCUUCCUGUUCUCCGGCUGCCCCUGCUCCCCUUCAUCUCCUCCUGCUUUGGCAGCUUCUCCGUGCGCAUGGAGGGCUCCCCGGACAUGAACCGCUACAUGGCGUCGCCCCAGCGGGACCUCAUGCUCGCCUUCCACAUGCUCAGCCUUGCCCUCUACACCGUUCGGCUGCUCCUGUCCCAUCUUGACCACCCCAUGGACUUCUGCACCGCCGCCAGUGCCGCUCCUCUAGAUCCGGCUGUCAUUGCUGCCACACCAUCCUCGUCGGUCCCGGUUUCUCUGGUGUCAUUGUCGCCGGCUUCCGUGGUGCCCUUUUGGCGCCUUCCUUGGCCACGGCGGCUGCCCUCCAUCUAGCGCCGGCCCCCCACGAAGGAGCGGCCUGGCCUGCCGGAGCGGAGACAAAACCCAAGCCGGUGGAUGCGCAGCUCCCCAUGCCGCCCCCUCCGCCACCGACCCCCAUCGGCUCCGCUUGCACCUACGAGUACGUCCUCCUAACCCAACCCCUCCUCUUCCUCCUACUUCUACACACAAAAGUUCUUUCAAUGGAUGAGUUGUAAGCAGCAAGUGGGCGCUAGCGGAGCAGCGUUGCUACUGGAAGGUACGGUAGAUGAAGCGAAGCAGGGGCAGCCGGAGAAGAGAAAGAAGGGGGAGAAAAAAAAUUGAAAAUAUGCAGGGCUAAAUUCAUAAAUGGGAUGGACCUGAUAGCGGGCCCCGCCUGUAAGGAAAAGUGUCAAAUGCGCUUAACUAUCGGUUUUGGGCCAGUCGAGACAAUUAGUCCGAACAAGUGUGGUUUUCCAAAAAAAUUAACGAAAUGUGUGGUUCUGUGAGAAAGCUGCCUCAAGAACGGUGGUUCAUUGAAAUUUACUUGAUAACAAUCGUAAGGUUCAGAGUUUCAACUUUUGCAAUCUGAACGUCUAGAAACCGAAAGGCACUGUGUCACAUCCCGGGGAUUUACCCUAACUCAGAUUUUGCUUGUUGUUCUUUUUUGCAUCAGCAUCGCAUCAUCAUCAUGAGCAUUAAUUUUUGUUGAUGUGUAAUGUGCAGAUACCUAAAAUUACUUUGCUAAAACUCUAUUUUGCAAUUGCUAAAUUAAACUUCAGGUUUAAUUAAACUAAUCCCAUUCUUUUCUUAAUUUUAUUUUAAAAAAUAAUUAAUAAACCUCUGUUUUUGUUUGUUGGCCCUCCCUCCCUCCCUCUCUCCCUCUCUCUCUCUCCCGCCGCCAUCCUUCUUCUCCCCUCCGGAUUUCUUCUUCCUUUAAUGACACACACGCACACACGCACACGCGCGCGCACACACACAGACAGAUAGGAAGUGGUUUUAGUAUGCCCAACCUCCCCAGUGCCCGACAAGGGUUGGACGGUGGAAGAGUUUCCAAAAAUCAUGAAAUUUGUACCACCUCACCAUCACAAUAGAGACGGAUGUGAACCUCCGCUCUAUCUAUACGUGCAACACAGUUCGGGUGGAACACGCGGGCCGUUUUUCUUUCUUUUCUUCCAACCCCUACGCGUCCCGACAACUACGGUCUCCGCAUUUACUUAACCCCUCUCUCUCCCUCCCAACUCGCUCUUUCCCUCUCCCCGCUCGCGUCAACCGCCGAAGUCUCGCCCUGAUUUUCGGCAGUUCACCGGCGGAACCGCUCGGAGUGGUGGCGAUAAGCGAGACUUGGUGGUUGCGAAUCCAUUCCUCCCUAAAAUACUCGGCCGCCAUAGUGCCUCACGGUUCUGGGAGCGCUCAAUGCCCUCCGUCGUGUCCAGCGCCGUCGGCCGCGCGGAGCGCCGCCGUCUCUUCGUGGAUUUAGGGUUCCAAAGCUUGCUACCGGUAUGAAUUUGCUCUUACUCGGUUUGGUGUUUUCGCACGCCCUUGUUCUGUCCUCUCCGAUUUUGACCUGCGCAUCGACAUGCUCUGAUUCUUCUAGGUUUUCCCCCAAAUCGCCGUCAAUGGAUGGUGGUUCUCCGGAUAUAUUCGAUGGCAUACUCCCUCUCGCACCCCUGCCUGCCCACCCCUCACUGUGAAUGCAUGUGAUUUUAGGUUGUGCUUGUUUUUUUGGUUGCUUGUCUGCUUAUGAUUUAAGGGUUUGCAAUGUCACCACAUUGUUGUAUACAGAUGUUUCAUAUAUUUUGUUUGAGUGCUUGAUGUCGUAGAUUGUACCAAGUGUUGCUUGUAUUUAUAAUCAGGCAAAUGUAUAGGAUGGACUAAAUUUCUACUUGCAUGUGAACUUCCUAUGUGUGAAAUGUGAACCUCCUUCUGUAUAUGUUGGAUGCCAUGAAGUUAUGGCAUCUACAAUUUUUUUGUUUUGAUGUUUUACUCCUUGCGUUGAUAUGUGAACUUUCUUAGGUGUUAACUCUAAACUUCCUGUUGCUGAAAUGUGAACUCCCCUACUGUCUAUGUUGUCGUGUGAACUUCAUAUAAGUUUGUUUGUUCAUUUUUAAAGUUGGGUUGCAAUUUUAUUUUCCUGGUGAACUGCUUAAGGAUUAAGUGUGAUCGUCAUGUUGGCUAUGUCGCUUGUGAACUUCACGUGUGUUAGAUGCGUUCCUUAUGCUGUUAAUUUCACAUACUGUAUAUGUUGUAUGAGAUGAAGCUAUGGCAUCUGCAAUGGUUUGUUUUAAUGUUUACCCCCUGUACUGGUAUGUGGACUUUCAUAUGUGUUAGUUGUGAACUUCCUGUUGCUGUAAUGUGAACUUCCUGUUGCCUAUGUUUGUCGCUGAACUUCAUAUUAGUUUGUCCGUUCAUUUUAAAGUUGGGUUGCAAUUUUAUUGUCUUGUGAACUGCUCAAGGAUUAAGUGUGAACCUCCUGUUGUCUAUGUUUUGCUUGUGAACUUCACAUGUGUUCGAUGUGUCCCAUUUGCUGUUAACUUCACAUUUUGUUUUAUUUGAACCUUCGUCAACGCAUUUCUGUCCUGUGUGUGUUUCUUGUCAUAUAUACCUUAUUUUUUCCACCAAGUCAGGUUGUAUUAUAUAUGAACUUCAUUGUGUUGUUUGUCUGAACUGUCCAUGUUUACUUAUAUCAUCUUUAACUUCUUUUGAUUGCAGCUGUUGAUAGCAUCACACAAUCAUUAAAUGAGUUGAAUGCUGAGUUUCCUUCGGUGGGAACACCAGACAAACAUGCUGAUUCUACUAAUUCACCUAAUGGUAGGAGCACACACCCUAUCAACGAUGGGACUCCUGUGUUUGAUGCAACCCCAACGACAUCUGCCAAUGUUGCCCGAGAUAACAGUCGGGAAUCUUGUGGAGGGACACCAGGGCCUAUUUUUGACGAAACCGUGAUGCGACACAAGAAGGAUGACACAAACGCAGGCAUUGCGGAUGAGCCCAGCCCCCCUGAUUGCACUCCUGUUUGGCAGGACACACCGUCCCAAUCUGUAGAUGGCACUGAGGAGGUCACACAGGCGUGGAAUGCUGGUGAACAACUUGAAAGGUAUCAGAAGGAACAUGCUGCAAGGGUUGCCAAGUAUGCCGAGGCAGUAAGGCAGUACUACAGGAAAUUUCCCAAAAUGAAGAGGGAUGCAUCUAAUGCUCCAGCUGAUCACACCGAAAAUGUCCCUGCAUCAACUGCUUCAGAUGAUGAUUUUGAAGCCCCAUCUCCACCCACAGUGAGAAACAAGGUCAGGUUUGAUGUUGCUAAACGGAAGGUCUCACGCGUAUCGUCGCAGGAGUCUCCUGGUGCCGUCAAUGUACGAUGCAUCCCUCGCAUUGGGACCUCCCCUUCGUCGCAGGAGUCUCCUGGUGCCGUCAAUGUACGACGCAGCCCUCGCAUUGCGACCUCCCUGGUGCUGUCGCUGCGCACCCAGCUCAAUAUGGUGAAAAAGUCUCUGGGAGCAAGCGUCGCCGAACGGUCGACAAAUCUUAUGUUUCAGAUGGCGAGGAUGACGUCGCUGAUGUGGGUGGUGAAGUUGAUGCUGCCAAGGUUUCCCUUCAACCUUAGUUUAUUCUUUUAACCCAUAUUUUCCUAUGUUUUGUGAACUUCAUUUUAUAUGAAUGUGAACUUCCUCAACAUCACUGUCAUAAUUAUUUUCUUUUGUCGGUUUUUCUGUGACCUGCACAGUUAAUGCCUCUUUUUGUGAACUCCAUCAACUAUAUGUGUUACAAUUAAUUUUUAUCAGGUCUAUUGUGAACUUCAUAAUUUUUGUGUUCAUUGCUGAACUUUCAUAUUAUAUGAAUCUGAACUUCCUCAACAUUUUUGUUGUUAUUAUCAUCCAAGAAGGAGAUGAGAGGCGGCGCAGGUUGCAGCAGCAAAGUGGCUGGUAAAGUUGGGAAAAAAAGGAAAGGUGGGAUCAUUAGGAAAGCUAUAAUCGGCAACAAUGAUGAUUGUUCGGAUGUUAGUCCUAAGGGUUUAGGGUUAGGGUGCAAAUACCUAAAAUUACUUUGCUAAAACUCUAUUUUGCAUUUGCUAAAUUAAACUUCCAGUUUAAUUAAACUAAUCCCAUUCUUUUCUUAGUUUUAUUUUAAAAAAUAAUUAAUAAACCUCUGUUUUUGUUUGUUGGCCCAAGUGGCCCAAACCAACCCACUAAGCCAAUCCUAAUCCUAUCCUAUAAAACAUAACACCCUAACCCUCUCCCCCCCCCCCCUCUCUCUCUCUCUCUCUCUCUCUCUGCCGCCGCCGCCGCCCUUCUUCUCCCCUUUGGAUUUCUUCUUCCUUUAAUCACACACGCGCGCGUGCGCGCACGCGCACACGCACACAUACACACACCUCCGCAAUCUACCAAAAUCAUCGAAUAACACCGGAAAACAAAGGAACAAGGAGAAAAUAAAUACCAGCAAAUAUGCAUGAUGAAAGAUGUAUGAGAUGCAACAUAUACGAUGAUAAGAUGGAAUGCAAUAUUACUGCAGUUUGUUUCACCAAGUUUUGAUUUGUAGAACAAAAGAUGUACUGCCUGGAAUAGAACAUUAAAUCAAAUAGGGGCUGCUCUGGUACCCUUUGUUAAAACUAACUUUCUGGUAAUAAUGCAGUGCAUGAAAAUGCUAAUAACAGGUUGUGCACUAACUCUGAACAUUUGCACAUAGAUUUUAUAAUAUUUGGAGCCAGGAUACAAACAGGUUGUGCACUAACUCUGAAAAUUCACAAGUUUAAGCAAAUUAACUUGAGUUUCUUUCAAAAUUCCUGAUUUAUUUCGAAAAUAGCAACAGGGCAUAUAUAUUUUUGUAAAGAGAGAGAGAUAGAGAACCUGAGUACAACAUGUGUGCCCAAUAUGUAGGGAUCUUUACAUUUUUCUGAAGACCAAUUAGAAAGUUGCAUGCACACACAUUAAUUUAAAAUCAGUUUUACUGUCAAGCAUUGAUAGAUCUGGGCAUGAUUUUUUGUUUGUUUAACAGAAAACAAAACUAUUAUACAAGAGUACAUGCAAUCAGAUUUAUUCAUAGAAGAAACAUUCAAAAGGAUAAAGAAAAGAGAGCAGGAAAAGAAAUACACACUGAAACAUGCACAUACACUACAGAUCUAAGCUAGGAAGGAGCAGAACUACACAUGCAUGUGUGUGUACAUGCAUACAGCAAUGUUGACAACUUUCCCCAUCAUCAGCUCGAUGCAUGCAUGCAUGCUUACUAUCAGCUUGCAGAGAGAAAAUGGUGGGGGCUGGAGAUGAACAUUCAGAGGUACUGUUCAGAACCAAAGCAGGGAGAGAUUUGAUUGUUUCAGUGUCUCACCUAGCUUAUAAGGAAGAAAGCCAGCAGAGUUGCAGGUCAGGAAACAGGUCGGGAGAGAAAUUGCAGCUUGUGGUUCCUAAACUUGGAGAAAUGGAGCUCGAUCUACUCAGGUACUGCUCAGAACUCUGCUGCCGAUCCGUACGGCAAGCGACGACGCAGCGGCCGCGCUGUCUGAAAGCUUCGUCUCCCAGAGGACCUAGUCGACGGCCAGUAGGGAAAAACAUCCAUGGGAACAGGUUCAAGGAGAGAGAUCGAAAGAAAACUUGAAAUCAAUUCCUUACCAAGAGAAAGAAGUUAGGCUUUCUCUGCCCCUUUGCUUCCAGGACGAGGAGGGCACAGAGGUGGCUCUUCUGCUGCCUUGGUUUGAAGAGCAGUGGCGGCCAGACUGGGGGAGUUAUUGGGGUAGGAUGCUGGUCGGAGAUUUCUCUCAUUGGGCAGCUUGGGUGGUGGAAAGGAAGGGAGAAAAAAAAAAGAGAAAUAGAAAGAUGGCUGGUCGUGCUAUGCAGCUAACUGGAUCAUGAGGGGAAAAGAACA